rnacentral:rRNA from 1 species
AACGAACGCUGGCGGCAUGCCUAACACAUGCAAGUCGAACGAGACCUUCGGGUCUAGUGGCGCACGGGUGCGUAACGCGUGGGAAUCUACCCUUGGGUUCGGAAUAACAGUUAGAAAUGACUGCUAAUACCGGAUGAUGACGUAAGUCCAAAGAUUUAUCGCCCAAGGAUGAGCCCGCGUAAGAUUAGCUUGUUGGUGGGGUAAUGGCAUACCAAGGCGACGAUCUUUAGCUGGUCUGAGAGGAUGAUCAGCCACACUGGGAGUGAGACACGGCCCAGACUCCUACGGGAGGCAGCAGUGGGGAAUAGUGGACAAUGGGCGAAAGCCUGAUCCAGCAAUGCCGCGUGAGUGAUGAAGGCCUUAGGGUUGUAAAGCUCUUUUACCAGGGAUGAUAAUGACAGUACCUGGAGAAUAAGCUCCGGCUAACUCCGUGCCAGCCGCCGCGGUAA